CUCACAACUUGUAUUUCCUUCGAAGCUUCUGUCCCGUUCUGUCAGCUAGCUGCUCCAGCGAGGGGUGGAAGUAAAUACUCUGAGGUGUCCCAGGGCCUCAGAGUGCAGUUCUUACACAAACGAAGCUCCUUCUGUUGGGAAAGGCUCUCUUGUGCUUUCUUCCCUUCUGACGUGAGGCUGAAUGGCCCCUGUGUGAGAGGAGGAAAUGCAGGAGGCUGUCAGAGAUGGGGCUCCUGAGACAACCUGUGCGCUUCAGAGCUGCCCCGGGGCGACAGUGGGAAGGAGAACUGGCAGCAGGCCCCACGGAGCCCCCACCUCGGGGGCUCAGAAAUACUAGUGACAGGGUGGUGGUGCCCCAGGCAUUAGGCUGAGCACUGUCUCCAGUCUCCUCCAGUCCCCCGGAGCACGGUGAUGAGAGGGAUCAGGUGCAGGCCCAGGGAGGAAGCGACCGCCCACAGUGGCACCUUGGUGAGAGGCAGAGCAGGCCAGGCACUCAUGACCACGUCUGACAGGGACAGGGAACCAGGGCACCCUGGACCGCGAAGGUGCUGCAGGACAUGGGCCUGGAUGCAGUGCUGCAUGCUGACUCAAGGAUGAUGGUGACAGGGCCCAGGGCCGGGGCGGGUGGUUAAGGAAUGACCCCGGAAGUGCUCCCUGUGGCUUUGCAAAGGGGGGAGGGAUGCAUUCUUAUUUGUGCUUCAGGGUGUGUGAGUCAUCUGCGCAUCUGUCCUUCAUAAGGCGCUCUUCCAAGAGGGAUCUGGGAGGAGGUGACCUAAUCGGAAGGCGAUUCUAGAUGCGGAAUGUCUAAUUUGACCAACACUGCAUCUCCACCGAAACCAGCCCUGUCCUUGUCUUCCAGGACCUGAGGUGCAAAGGACACAUCCGGGCUGGGUGUGCUGUCCUCCUUACUUUAUAGGUUUUAUUUUUUCCAGGAUUAAAAAAAUACAGUUACCUUUCUUGAGCUCACAGGGGCACCCAGGGUGGAUUUCCAGGGGCAGGAAGCUGUGCAGAGUUCAUUGGUGGAAAGGAUGAAUUAAGAGAAAACCACUCAGAGGAACAGAAAGGCAUCCUAGGCAUUUGAGGCCAGGAGCAGAGCUGAGAGGGCUGUCUCCCUCUUUCAUUGUAUGGGCUGCCCCGACAAAGCACCGUACAUGGCCUGGGCGGCUUAUUCCCGACAGACGUGGAUUUCCUGUUCCAAGGCUGGGCGUCCAAGCUGGGGUGCACCCGGCGGCCUGUGCUCGCUCCCCACUGCCAUCUCCUCACAUGGUGCGCUUGCCCUGUGACCAGUUGGGGGCAUGGGCCUCUGGCCCCCUGCAGUCAUCCUUUCGGUGUCCAGCACAGCAACAACCACAGACAUGGCAGGAAGGCCUGUAGCCAGGAGAGGGGACCCCAGCGCACCCCAGGAGCUGCCCCGGAGCAGCCCGCUCCCCAUGACUGCGGCCACAGAGACCGUGAGAAGCAGCGAGAGACACUGCUGAGGCCACUGCAUUCUAGCGUGGUUUGUUAGGCAGCCAGAAGCAACCAGAAGAAACCGGGUUUAUGUUUUAAAAAUAAACAUUUUAUUGAAACAUCACAGGGAAGGGACAGGGAAGCCCCCCGCCAGGGCAGCAGGCCCAUCAGGACGCAGCGUGUGCCCCUGGACGGCCCCCGGGGUGACCCCGCAGCCCACAGAGUGGCCUGGCAGGCGCAGAGGGAGACACAGCUCCCGGGCCAGUGCAGGUCUGCUCGCCCCUCCCUGUGGUGCACUAGGUCCCGUGGUGGCUGCCCUGAGCCUGGGCUCCCUGGUCCUCCUGGCCCGGUUGUGCUCCACGACGCAGUGGACACAGCUGUUGUCCCUUCUGCUGCAGUCACUGAGACCACCUGUGUGGGGUGUUUCUGCCGGGGGCUCAGGCCCUCGCCUGUGCACACCCCAGUCAGGGCUCGGUGCCCUCACUGCUGCCUCUCUCCCAGGGCCCUCGACGCUGCCACUACUGCCUGCUGGUGGCCUGGGCAGCUGGGCCAGCUGCCAAGUGACGCUGGCUCCUUUGGUUCCGAGUCAUGGACUUUAGAAGGUAGUACCCUGAGCCACAUGGGCGCCCCGCACCUGGCGCCCCACCUGGGAAAGCCCACCUGGUGUCCCCCACGGGUCUCUCAUGACCACAUGCAUCGGCGGGGCCUGGGGAGGCCCGGCCCGGGAGCACUUUGUGCAGGGAGGAGUCCUAGGCCCCGGGCGACGGUGCCGGGUGGGAGACACUCAGAGCAGGGGGUAGACCCUCAACGCAGGACGCCGGGGUCAGGGCUGCUGCCCCAGGGGGUGCACGUGUACAUGGUCCUCGGCUUCUCGUGCCCACUCGAGGAGGCAGUUGGCCACACCUUCCAACUGCCAGCUUCCAAGACAGAGAAGACAGCGUCUGCUGUUUUAAGCCACCAGUCCAGGGGCUAAAUCCAGAUUUCUGUGCCUCAUCUUCCACAUAGGAAUAUAUGCAUGCUUUUGCUAAAUAAAGACAUAGCAUUAUAAGUC